AGGGGGAGCACUCGAUCCUGGGCUGUGUCCCUGGCCCCCUGUGCUCCUGGGCCUGCACUGCUGGAAUCCCGCUCCUGGCCGCGCAGCUCCCU
rnacentral:pre_miRNA from 1 species